rnacentral:rRNA from 1 species
UACGUAGGGUGCAAGCGUUGUCCGGAAUUAUUGGGCGUAAAGAGCUCGUAGGCGGCUUGUCACGUCGGGUGUGAAAGCCCGGGGCUUAACCCCGGGUCUGCAUUCGAUACGGGCUAGCUAGAGUGUGGUAGGGGAGAUCGAAUUCCUGGUGUAGCGGUGAAAUGCGCAGAUAUCAGGAGGAACACCGGUGGCGAAGGCGGAUCUCUGGGCCAUUACUGACGCUGAGGAGCGAAAGCGUGGGGAGCGAACAGG